AGAGUUUGAUCCUGGCUCAGAUUGAACGCUGGCGGUAUGCUUUACACAUGCAAGUCGAACGGCAGCACGGGGCAACCUGGUGGCGAGUGGCGAACGGGCGAGUAACAUAUCGGAACAUAUCCGGAAGUGGGGGAUAACGUAGCGAAAGUUACGCUAAUACCGCAUAUGCCCUGAGGGGGAAAGGGGGGGAUCGCAAGACCUCUCGCUUUCGGAGUGGCCGAUAUCGGAUUAGCUAGAUGGUGAGGUAAAGGCUCACCAUGGCGACGAUCCGUAGCGGGUCUGAGAGGACGACCCGCCACACUGGAACUGAGACACGGUCCAGACUCCUACGGGAGGCAGCAGUGGGGAAUUUUGGACAAUGGGCGCAAGCCUGAUCCAGCCAUACCGCGUGAGUGAAGAAGGCCUUCGGGUUGUAAAGCUCUUUCAGCCGGAAAGAAAUCGCACUUUUUAAUACGGAGUGUGGAUGACGGUACCGGAAGAAGAAGCACCGGCUAACUACGUGCCAGCAGCCGCGGU
rnacentral:rRNA from 1 species